UACGGGGGGGGCAAGCGUUGUUCGGAAUUACUGGGCGUAAAGGGCUCGUAGGUGGCCAACUAAGUCAGACGUGAAAUCCCUCGGCUUAACCGGGGAACUGCGUCUGAUACUGGAUGGCUUGAGGUUGGGAGAGGGAUGCGGAAUUCCAGGUGUAGCGGUGAAAUUCGUAGAUAUUCGGAAGAACACCAGUGGCGAAGGCGGCUCACUGGCCCGGUACUGACGCUGAGGUGCGAAAGCGUGGGGAGCAAACAGG
rnacentral:rRNA from 1 species